rnacentral:rRNA from 1 species
CUACGUGCCAGCAGCCGCGGUAAUACGGAAGGUCCGGGCGUUAUCCGGAUUUAUUGGGUUUAAAGGGAGCGUAGGCCGGAGAUUAAGUGUGUUGUGAAAUGUAGACGCUCAACGUCUGACUUGCAGCGCAUACUGGUUUCCUUGAGUACGCACAACGUUGGCGGAAUUCGUCGUGUAGCGGUGAAAUGCUUAGAUAUGACGAAGAACUCCGAUUGCGAAGGCAGCUGACGGGAGCGCAACUGACGCUUAAGCUCGAAGGUGCGGGUAUCGAACAGGAUUAGAUACCCUGGUAGUCCGCACAGUAAACGAUGGAUGCUCGCUGUUGGUACCUAGUAUCAGCGGCUAAGCGAAAGCAUUAAGCAUCCCACCUGGGGAGUACGCCGGCAACGGUGAAGCUCAAAGGAAUUGACGGGGGCCCGCACAAGCGGAGGAACAUGUGGUUUAAUUCGAUGAUACGCGAGGAACCUUACCCGGGCUUGAA